rnacentral:rRNA from 1 species
CCUACGGGGUGCAGCAGUGAGGAAUAUUGGUCAAUGGACGAGAGUCUGAACCAGCCAAGUAGCGUGAAGGAUGACUGCCCUAUGGGUUGUAAACUUCUUUUAUAUGGGAAUAAAACGUUCCACGUGUGGGAUUUUGUAUGUACCAUAUGAAUAAGGAUCGGCUAACUCCGUGCCAGCAGCCGCGGUAAUACGGAGGAUCCGAGCGUUAUCCGGAUUUAUUGGGUUUAAAGGGAGCGUAGGUGGAUUGUUAAGUCAGUUGUGAAAGUUUGCGGCUCAACCGUAAAAUUGCAGUUGAAACUGGCAGUCUUGAGUACAGUAGAGGUGGGCGGAAUUCGUGGUGUAGCGGUGAAAUGCUUAGAUAUCACGAAGAACUCCGAUUGCGAAGGCAGUUCACUGGACUGCAACUGACACUGAGGCUCGAAAGUGUGGGUAUCAAACAGGAUUAGAUACCCCUAGUAGUC